rnacentral:rRNA from 1 species
UACGUAGGGGGCUAGCGUUGUCCGGAAUCAUUGGGCGUAAAGCGCGCGUAGGCGGCCCGGUAAGUCCGCUGUGAAAGUCGGGGGCUCAACCCUCGGAUGCCGGUGGAUACUGUCGGGCUAGAGUGCGGAAGAGGCGAGUGGAAUUCCUGGUGUAGAGGUGAAAUGCGCAGAUAUCAGGAGGAACACCAAUUGCGAAGGCAGCUCGCUGGGACGUGACUGACGCUGAGACGCGAAAGCGUGGGGAGCAAACAGG